rnacentral:sRNA from 1 species
AUGCCAGGGUCAAAAGGUCAAACUGUCGUUCUUGCUUGCAAGAUAAGACAGUUGAACUUUGGACCCGCUAAAACAUGAGGAAUGAGCAAUUUACGUAGUAAAUGUGCGGUUUCCGAAUGUUUGUAGAAUUGCGAGAACUGCAACGCAGUGGAGCAAUUCGUGGCAU